rnacentral:rRNA from 1 species
CAGGCCUAACACAUGCAAGUCGAACGUGAAGCCGCCCUUCGGGGCGGUGGAAAGUGGCGCACGGGUGAGUAACGCGUGGGAACCAACCCUGAGGUACGGAAUAACAGCUGGAAACGGCUGCUAAUACCGUAUGUGCCCUACGGGGGAAAGAUUUAUCGCCUUGGGACGGGCCCGCGUCGGAUUAGCUUGUUGGUGGGGUAACGGCCCACCAAGGCCCCGAUCCGUAGCUGGUCUGAGAGGAUGAUCAGCCACACUGGAACUGAGACACGGUCCAGACUCCUACGGGAGGCAGCAGUGGGGAAUAUUGCGCAAUGGGGGAAACCCUGACGCAGCCAUGCCGCGUGAGUGAAGAAGGUCUUCGGAUUGUAAAGCUCUUUCAACGGGGAAGAUGAUGACGGUACCCGUAGAAGAAGCCCCGGCUAACUUCGUGCCAGCAGCCGCGGUAAUACGAAGGGGGCAAGCGUUGUUCGGAAUUACUGGGCGUAAAGGGCGUGUAGGCGGUGCGAUCAGUCAGAGGUGAAAGCCCCGGGCUCAACCUGGGAAUUGCCUUUGAUACUGUCGCACUAGAGUUCGGGAGAGGGUAGUGGAAUUCCCAGUGUAGAGGUGAAAUUC